rnacentral:lncRNA from 1 species
UGAUUAUCUGUUUAGCUGAAAUGUACUUGUGUGUUUAUUUGCUUACUUAAUUUCUUGGGACUUUGGAGGUGGGACUGGUACUAGUGGCUCUGGGGUUAGUAACAGUGGUCCUACAGUUCCUUGGCUCUCUAGGAUUCUGGAAGGAAAGUUGUUUAAGAAUUAACCUAACUGUAUUUCUAGCAGAAGCACAAAAGAUCACAUGGAAUUCAAACAGUGAGACUCUCAGUAGCAUAAGAGAGCAUGUCACUACUUGUCUCUGGAUUCCAGUUUCCUAUAAAAUGAAGGGGUUGGCCUAAAUGACAGAGGUCUCCUGCUAGCUCCAUCUAUCUACCCACUCAUCCAUCCCCAGCAGGUUAGUACAUCCCUCAGCUUCUCAGACAGGAGAGGUGAUUGGGUUCAUCCCUUUCUGAAGAAUCUCCAAAGCACAGCCAAAGCUGGGAAGGAAGACCCAUAUGAAUACAGGCGGAUGCCCUAUUUCUUCUGAGGAAAACCAUGAAGAACAGCUCCAACAGAGGAGCCUGGACUACAACCCUGGGCAGGCAGCUCCACCCACCCGUCCACAGGUAGCCUCGGUUGGGCUCCACUAUCCCUGCUCCAGUACCCACUCCCAGCACUUAAGAAUGUCUCCUGUCUGGCUCCAGCAUGAAGGUAACAGAGAAGGAAGAUCUGGAUUUCCGGCAGAUUAAGUGGAGGAGAGAAGAGAGGGACCGAGGAAGAAAAAAAAGGCCGUGGACAAAUGAAAACUGUCUUGUGAACAUAAAGUGAUUGACAUAGAUCACAUCACCUGGAUUAUGAUGAUUUAAAAGGCAGUUCACACACAGAAAUCCCAGAAAGGUUUAGAGCAAAAUAAUGACUUUCAGAGAAGACUGUGAAUUUGGAUCUCUACAUUCCAGUACACUUAUGGGGGAAAAGAAAGUGCUUUUAACUUACAAGUAUUCUGAAUAGUCACUCUUUCGGAGUCUUUUUUUUUUUAAUUGGAAAGUAACAUUUUUCCAUUAGAGGAUUCAAUUCUACUACUGCUGCAAAAGAAUUAUUUCUGGAGUCAGAAUCAAAUCAACCUUUAUAAUCAGUCUAAUGAGUCAGACCCACUGAUAUAUAUUAGUGGACCUGGCUUCUGUUCUAGGUCAGGAACUGAGAGCUCCUGACACUUUGUAAUAGUGUAAUAGGGGAUAAAAUGUCAGAAAUUUCAGUGAAAAUGGAGGUUAAGUUGUGCAUUUUAAAAGCAAUUUUUAGGUAUAAGGUAGUAAGUAGCUAGUACUUAUGUGCCAGCAGUUCAGAAAGCAAAACCCAAUGGCCAAUUAUUCUUUGCUUUGUACAUUUGGGGACUAUAAGCAGACGGACACUAAGGAGCACACAUCCCUGGAUUUAUUUCUCAAAACAUAUCGCACAUUCCUAAUUUUCCUCACAGAUCUUUUUAAAGAUUACUCUCAGAAUGUGCCCAAAGAGUCCCUGAACAAAUGCUAUUCAUUUUGGUAAAUAUAACAAAAAUCAUUAGAAGAUAUCAGCAUUUUAAAUAGCGAUUAUAAUCCGGUGGUUGACUUCUGUAUUGCCCUGUUCGGUAUCUAUAUGUUUUGUAAAGGCUUACAUUGACUUGUUUACAGAUAUACCAUUUGCAUUUAGCUAAUUGUGACGUCUGUGGUCAUUUUCUAUAAAGAGGUUGGUCUUUAAGCUGUUGGUAAUGAAUGUGGCUUAGUUUCUACUGGAAAAUCUGAUUCAGCUUACAUCAUUUUGACUUAUAGCACCUUUGCCAGGAAUGAAAUCUAAGAGUGCAAGACUGCCUUGUUUUUCCCCAGGUCUGCAGAGGCCUGUUGCUUUUAAUGGGUUGUGUGUAGGACACAAGGAUGUGACUCAUCUAUCCACUUAAGAGUCAUAAAACAGUAAUGCAGACAGCUCAGCGUCAGUCAUAACGUUCAUUGUAUGCACCAUACUGAAUGGGCAUUACCAUUUAGUUUUUGUUAUUUUACAGGAAAGUGGGCAUUGGUACCCAGUGGACAAACAAAAUAUUUAUUAAGCUUAUUGUCAUCAAUGUCAUUAAUAUAACUGUUUUCAGUGAGCGUAGAACAAGUGUGUGGAGCUAUUUGUUGUCAACUGAACAUCCCUGCCACCCCUUCUAAUGUCUCCCUGCUCCAUGGAAGAGAAAUCAGGACUGUAGUUGUAAUUUGCAGAAUUCUCUUCUCUGUGAGGUUCAGGAGAGACCAUCCAGGAAGACGCACUUGUAUGAGGAAGGAGGAAGGCAAGGCCAGUAUUCUCCAGUGGCAGUUGUAGGCACACGCAUGGAGAGAUGUAAGGUUCAAAGCAGCUUUCAGAUGAACUUUUGGAGAAUUGCCUUUUGUGCUACGAGAGGGGAUAGAUGUCUAGAGCAUCUCUCGACUCACAAGUUUUGCAGUUUUCCAGGUGAGCUCCUGGGAAUCGUGUGCUUCAGUGCUCCAAGCAGAGUGUUAACAAUGGCCUCCUUGACCUUUGCUUCCCUAACAGUUGCAGAAGCUUCACUUUCUUGUCUAAAACUAUUAAUAUUUGGAAGACACAGAGUGGCUUCUAUUUUCCUGAUAAAAACGUGGCUGAUAUAAGAAGUAAUUAUUUAAAAAUUAAUAAAAAAUUAGAAAAGGUAGAAUGCAUAAAUCAUAGAUUAAAAUAAACUGCCAGUGGGCUAUGGUUACUAUAAAAAUAAGAUGGUCAAAGGCUGAUCAAAUGGAAGAAUGAAUAAAUAAAAGUCAUUCAAAUAAUCAAUCAAUUAUAGAACAAUCAAUUAAAUAUAUUAAAUAUUAAGUUUAUGUAAUUAUAAUUUAUCUAUUAUGUACAUAUUAUAUUUAAUCUGUAAAUAUAUAUGAUAUAUAUAUAACAACUAGGAAUCUAGAUUCGGUAUCACACGAUUAGUACCAAGCAUGAAGUGAGCACAGCAAGCAGGAAGUAAGGCCAGGAUGAAAGAACACAUCCCAGCUAGAAACAGGAAAUUAGAAGUUUGAUUCACUUAUUUAUUCAUGCAACAAAUAUUUUUGAGCACUUUCUACCCCAAGUACUGUGCUAAAUGGUGGAGGAUGCAACAAGAACAAGAUAAACGGGUAACUGCUCUUGAGGUGCUUAUGCUCUACUUGGGAAUAUGGACAAGUGAAUAGCCAACUGUCAUUGAGUGUGAUGCGUGUCAUGAUGAGAGAAGUACAUCGUGUUGUAGGAACACCUAGAGGCAGGAAGUAGGGUGUGGGGUGGGGAGGAAAAAAGACUUCCUGAGAAAGUGGCUUCUAAGCUGAGACUUGAAGGAUGAAAGGAGGUUAAUGGUCAAGGUGCAUGGGGUAGAGGAGAUGGAGGUUGAAGAGGGAGCUCAGAGACUGUUCUGGUAGGCACCCCAUUGUCAGGUGGUAGUGGUGGUAAACUCCACAGGCAAUGGGGAGAUAUCGCAGGGUUUUAAGUAGCAGAAUGAUAUGAUCAGGUUUAUGAUUUCAAAUGAUGCCUCUGGCUGUAGGUUCAAGAAUGGAUUUCAGUGAGCAACGUGGAUGUGGGGAGAACAACUAGAGAGUGUUGUAACAGUCCACAUACGAGAUGUCCAUAACUUGGACAUGGCAGUGGGGAUGGAGAGAAGUUAGCAGAUACAAGAAAUGUUUAGUCGAUGACUGACAGAGAGGUUAGAGAAUGGGAGAAGUCAAGGAUGACUCAUUUCACAUAUACAGAAACUGAAGCUUAGAGGGAUUGCAUAGCUCACCUAAGGUCACAUAGCCCGGAACAGUGAAGUUGGGAUUCAAACCUCAAUUCGGUCAACUCUAGAGCCUUCAACUUUACCUCUAAGCUCUGUAGUGUAUGGACCAGAACAGGCCACGAAGCCUCAAGUUUUAAAAAAUCAUUAGGAUGAGGUCCUUGUGUCACACAAGUUGACUGUUUUGUAUUAAUGUGACAGAGUGGUUCUGCUGGGCUCUCUUCAUCUCUUGUCAUAUCUGUACUGUAUUUUUUCUACUUGAUUUAACUUAUUUUCAUAAUUUUUCCCUGUGUGUGUGUGUAAAUGUUGUUGUAACUAAAGGAAAAUGGAGUGGGGAAAGAAGAAGAUUUCUCCUUCUCACUAAAAUUUUGGUUUCAAGCUAAAGUAAAAACAGAAGGCAUUUCUCCUUUACUUUUUACAGUAUGUAUAUCUGUAGCUGUGGAAGUUCUAGAGGGUAAAAGCCACAACCAGCUGUCACGUUUUGUUUGCCAAAAUGACUAAGAUAAUGGGUAAGGCUGAGAAAGCUGUAAAAUAAUUAUCCCAUAUUGCUCCUAAACACCCACCUUUUCUGUUACACUUGAGAUCUGUUAAACAAGUCUGAAAUAGUUGGAAACAAAUACUGACAUGUCCGUGAUUGUAACUCCCGUCUAUUUGUGGAUGAAUGUCAAGCCUCCCACUCCUGAACAAACCCCUGCGCUGAGCUCCAAACACCCGAGGACAUCCCCGGCCAAGUAACCCGGGCUCCUUAAACUUUAUGUGCUGUGACAAUCUCAGCUGAGCUAAGGCCCCUCGCUACCAUCCCUCUGGCUGUAGGAUCAAGAAUGGAUUUCAAAAGAGCAACAUUACCACUACUACUACUAUUGCUACCACCCCCAGCCUUUUUUCCUGAAACCUGUACCAACCAAGUCAACAAAACCAGAUGCUUAGGAGCUAGUCUAGAUUCCUCUUUCUCUCCUAUUCCUCACAUCUCGUCAGCCAGUAAAUCCUGGCGAUCCUAUCUCUUAAAUACCUCUUUAGUUUUUUCUUCCCUCUUCAUUUCCACUGUGGUUGUCUUAGUACUGGCCACUGCUUCCAAAUUCCUGACGGAUAUUAAUUUUUGUGAUGCAGAAACAAGAAAAUGGAAUGCCCAGUAAUUUGCAAACUCAUAAAUUAUUCUAUAUUUAGUGUGACUUAUUACUUACGUGUUUUUAAAAUAAUAAAAAUUGGUCAUAAUCAUAAAUAAUGAAGAGUUUUUCUGUAACAGGGUUAUACUAAAAAUUUGAGAGGCUUUCUGUAAAGAAAGAAAAAGAGAUAAUAAUAAAUGCUUUGCUACUAUUGCUAUGAACCGAAACACUAUGACACAAUUAUAUAUUUCAAUAAUAUGCAAAAAUGGCCUCUACCUAAUAUACACAUUUGAUAAUAGAAAACAUUAGAAGAGAAAAUAAACACAAAAUCAAUGCCAAGUAAAGAUUAUUAGUACAUUGAGUGAUAAUACAACAAAUAUUAAAUAUUUUUAAAAUUAUCCUUAAUAAAAUUGUAAGACACAUAGGCAUGAAUUUCACUGUCAAAUAGUUUUGGACAAUAUUAGGACAAAUAUUGCAAAUGUAGAAAAAUAUCUUUCAUCUUGUGUUACAUUAAUUGAAUUGAUUGAUUAAAGAUGUGUUCAAAAGCAUCUUCAAAUUGGGAGUCAGGGAACAUGUUGCUUCAAAUAAGUUCAUUUCCUUUUUUAGCAAUGAAAAUAUUUUAUCUGCUUAUUCUGGUUUUCAUUUGUCCAUUGAAAAAUAUACUAUUUUUGUUAAUUCAGAUUUUAGGUCAGUUUCGGGUGGCUUACUAGAACAUUAUAUAACAACAUUAAUUUAUUCUCUUCGUAGUUUUGUUGGGCGGUCAACAUACUUGGAAAGAACUUCAGUGAAUAGCAGAUAUUUAAACACUAGAAAAUGCCAACAAUUCGGGCAAUACUCAAAUAACAUGACAUUCAUAUCUUCUAACAAGGUUACCAUCACCCCUGUGGAUUUGCAUGACAAAAUUGUCCAUUUAGGGAUUUAUUUUGCUUCCGAAACUUGUAUUUCUUGACACACUGCUUAUAGGACUUAUAUAACAGUUACUGAAUGUAUAAUCUUAUUAAUAUUUAUUUUAUUUGCAAGAGUAACUGAUUACCAGCAGACAGGGCUACCAACACACACUGACUCCAUGGCCACAGCCCUAAGAAAGACUGAUUAGGCUGUGGCUGCUUCUGUCUUACAUGCCUCUGCCCCGUUUCCAGAUAUGUCAACCUUAAUACUUGUCUCUGUGGCUCAGGGUUCCUGUUCUUACUUUUGGCUUGAUGUCAUUGGGUUCCUUUGAGCCAGUAAUGUUUCUUUGUUAAUUGUUAAGCUCUAAUUCUCACAGGAGAAUUAUAAUACUUUCAUGUUUCUGAUUUCUUGACUGAUUUUUCUAAAAUUUGGAACUUAGAAAAACAUAUAAAUUUCUUGAGAAAUGUCAGGAAAGAAGUCCCGCAUGGAAACAGUAUUACAGACCCUGUAAUGUCUUAGUCAAAUAAUCACUAUAUAAUACUGGUCUCUGGCCUCUUGCCAUGUCUCCUUUCAGUCUAACCCUCCCACUGCUUAUUCUGUAAAAUGGACGUGAACUUAACAAAUUGUGUUAUAAUUUUAAAAUAUGCUUGCCUUUUCCACGAGACUGCACAUUUCUUAAAAGCAGGAACUGAGUCUUAGCUCUUGAUCUCCAAUGUCUAGCAAUGAAUUGACGCAUUUUAGGUUCUCAAUAUAUGCAUGAUAAAUUGAGAUGAAUUAAAUUGAAUUUAUUUGAAAUAGAAAGAUAGUGAGGACUUCUGGUUUUGGAAACCUGGUAGAUUGAGACAAUACAUCUCUUCCAUGACAAUUGCCUGGGAAUUCUAGAUAACAUACAGUAAAAACUUUAAAAACAGAGUUGAAUUCAGAAGAAAACAACAAAGAAGGCUUUAGGUAGCACAGAUAAGCAAAGACCCUGACAGCUAGAGCCAUAAGCACUGAAGUUGAAGUGCAGCUUGUGGGCCAGGGCAGGGCUUGUGGGGAGGGAGUCUGCAGGGAUGAUGCAGUUUCAGAUCAGGAAUUAAGCUGAGGUUUCUAUAACCAUCUAGGAAAAUGUGUCAUUGUGCUCUUCAGCUCAGUAUUAAGAAAUGCUAAUGGAGGAACAGAUAUUUCAUGCACAAAGAGAGCCCCCCUUCUCACUCUUCCCGUAGGUCUUUUGAACCUGUUCUCCCCCCAGUGAUGCUGUGUUGAGGGCAGAGGUGCGCUCAACAUUGAAUGAGACCACAUUCAGGCUGCAGUGAUUGUGCCCUAAAGAGUUCAAGACAUGAUUGGAGGAAGCCCUGUUCUAUGUUUUUGCUAUUAAAUUCUGAAUGGUAAGCUUAACAUGACCAGAAAACAAGUUAUCAUUCACAUCUUGCAUACACUGGAUGAGCUUGCAUUUUUGGUCAUCACAAAUGAUAC